rnacentral:rRNA from 1 species
GCGAAAGCCUGAUGCAGCGACGCCGCGUGAGGGAUGACGGCCUUCGGGUUGUAAACCUCUUUCAGCAGGGACGAAGCGAAAGUGACGGUACCUGCAGAAGAAGCACCGGCUAACUACGUGCCAGCAGCCGCGGUAAUACGUAGGGUGCAAGCGUUGUCCGGAAUUACUGGGCGUAAAGAGUUCGUAGGCAGUUUGUCGCGUCGUUUGUGAAAACUCACAGCUCAACUGUGAGCCUGCAGGCGAUACGGGCAGACUUGAGUACUGCAGGGGAGACUGGAAUUCCUGGUGUAGCGGUGAAAUGCGCAGAUAUCAGGAGGAACACCGGUGGCGAAGGCGGGUCUCUGGGCAGUAACUGACGCUGAGGAACGAAAGCGUGGGUAGCAAACAGGAUUAGAUACCCUGGUAGUCCACGCCGUAAACGGUGGGCGCUAGGUGUGGGUUCCUUCCACGGGAUCUGUGCCGUAGCUAACGCAUUAAGCGCCCCGCCUGGGGAGUACGGCCGCAAGGCUAAAACUCA